UACGGGGGGGGCAAGCGUUGUUCGGAAUUACUGGGCGUAAAGGGCUCGUAGGCGGCCAACUAAGUCAGACGUGAAAUCCCUCGGCUUAACCGGGGAACUGCAUCUGAUACUGGGGAUCUCGAGUCCGGAAGAGGUGAGUGGAACUCCGAGUGUAGAGGUGAAAUUCGUAGAUAUUCGGAAGAACACCAGUGGCGAAGGCGGCUCACUGGUCCGGUACUGACGCUGAGGUGCGAAAGCGUGGGGAGCAAACAGG
rnacentral:rRNA from 1 species